rnacentral:rRNA from 1 species
GACGAACCGUCCGAACGUUAUUCGGAAUCACUGGGCUUAAAGGGUGCGUAGGCGGCGCGGUAAGUCGGGUGUGAAAUCUCGGGGCUUAACUCCGAAACUGCAUUCGAUACUGCCGUGCUUGAGGACUGGAGAGGAGACUGGAAUUUACGGUGUAGCGGUGAAAUGCGUAGAUAUCGUAAGGAAGACCAGUGGCGAAGGCGGGUCUCUGGACAGUUCCUGACGCUGAGGCACGAAGGCCAGGGGAGCAAACGGG